rnacentral:rRNA from 1 species
UGGGAAUAUUGCACAAUGGGGGGAACCCUGAUGCAGCGACGCCGCGUGGGUGAAGGAGUAUUUCGGUAUGUAAAGCCCUAUCAGCAGGGAAGAACAAUGACGGUACCUGACUAAGAAGCACCGGCUAAAUACGUGCC